GUGGGAAAUGUUGAAAGCAUACUGUUUAAGAGAAAAAGAGUACAAAGUUUACAGACAGCAACACUAGUGUGUACGAGUGGUGUGUACAUGUGACACACUGGGCUUUGUGACUCCAUUGGAAUUAAUUGUCUUAUAUGAUUCCGGAACUUCCUAUGUAUUUCUGUACAGCGCUUCAGCUCCAAGUUAGCUGGGCUGUAGAGAAUUCAGCUGGAGCAAAAUACAGACAGACACCCAGUUAUAAGGAGAGAGCGAGGUGAGAAAUGCAUAGCAGUGGUCCUGGCAGCCUGUGGGGGAACAAGGACACACUUCUGCAACUUGUGAACAUUUCCUCAGGACAUCAGCAAUGCUAAGGGGGAAGUGAGAAGAUUGCUGAUCCGUGCACUGGAGUUGGGCAAGACCGUGGGACCCGCCGCAGCCAACGGGACAAGAGCAGAAUUCACAAAGUCUUCAUUUCCACAGUUGGGAAGACAGCACAACACCUUAGUUACUGGAGCAGUGGAUAUCUACAAGCGUAAAGACACUGUGAAGUGCCUGGUUACGUCUGCUGGGCGCCAAGUGCAGCACUGAACACACUUUACCAGGAAUAUUGCUGCUUCUCGCGGAGUCUUGAAAACUGAGUAGUAAAUUCCCAGGAUAACAGGUGGGCAGCCUGUCAGCAGAGGGG
rnacentral:lncRNA from 1 species